rnacentral:tRNA from 1 species
GCCCGGGUGGCGGAAUUGGUAUACGCAAAGGACUUAAAAUCCUUGGCCUUCAAAAGAGGCUUGUGGGUUCGAGUCCCACCCCGGGCACCA